GCCACUGAACCGGUGAAGGAUUUGGAGAGAACCCAGCUUCUCUUCGUUCGUGCGUGGGAUCGUGACAGACGGAGACGGCAACGACAACAAGAGGCAGGCAGGCGGGCGGGCGAAAGUAAACCGUGAGAGGAAGAAAAAAAGCAGACAAGCGUCAAAAACAAAAUUCGUGCCACGGGCCACCCGUUGUAAUAACAGUGUCCCAAGGGUCGAUUUUGUCAAAAGAUCACCAAGGGUGGCACGUUGCUAGCUCGGCGGUGAGCCGUGGGUCGUGGGGAGUCGUCGGAGGAGAAGGAGAGCUCAGCGGCAGUGCAUAAGACGAAGAGGUGCUCACGAUCUCGCGUAGUACAACGAGUGGCGUCCGCACAGCACGCGCUACUGGAUAAUCGGAUGGAAUGUUGAUGGGAAUGUCCUUGGGUGCGUUUUGCCGGGUCCAGGUCCACCACCGGAGGAGCACUACUGCUGUUAUGGGUCUAUACUAAUUCUAGCCUAAUUAUUCUGCCCAUGUUAUACCAUACACACAUGACGCAUCAUGAUUGCCUCCUGUCCCCUGCUGCAUUGCAUGUUCCAUUGGCCAAUGGCCAGCCUGUAAGGCUGUGCAGCCUGUCAGAGCCGCAGCUCGCCGGCUCGAGUAUUGCACCGGGCAACAAGAUGCCACAGAGAGAAGCUCGGAGCUCAUUUAUCCUGGAGAAUUGCAUUCCACUGUACUACUCCUGAGAAUACUGGAACAGCUGAAAGAGAAUAAAUUCUGCAUUCUGACUCCUGAGAAUGGUACAGGCCUCACUACUAUGGCGCCCUCUGGAUGGAACAGUGUGCAGGCUAAAAACGCUCUUCUGGUCUCUCUUUUAUUGCUAUCAACGACAGUAAACAUGGUUCAGUCUGAAACAACAACGGUAUUUACAAAUUGUUACUAACACAUGGCGGGUUAUAGGAUACUGAACGGAGACCACGAGCUCAAAAUUUAUGACUACUACUCUAAGGGCCAAGGAGGAGGGCUAGUUAUAACUUCGGUGAGAUCCUAACCUGUUCUUCUGCAAGUUUCAGAAGAGAAGAGAAAAAAGAGAGGGUGUGCAGCUAUUUUAUCUUUCAGAAUCAUACUAAGCUAAAUGGGGAAUCAAUCCAUCUCCUUCUGCUCACGAAGGGCUAGUGAAGUUCUUUGCUUGAAUCUUGAUCUGGAUAAACCCUUGAUGUUUCAGAUAUCGGCGUGCUCCACGGGCCGUUGCGGAAUCGACGACAUCUCGUGGUUCUCCAGUGGCAUGUACUGGGCCAUGAUGGCACGGAUCUCUGAAUCCAUGUAACUCUGCCAUGGCAUUGUCAAUAGCACAAAGUAUCUUAUAUGAGUUGCCUAAGAGAAUCAGUGCAAAAUGUGCAGAGGUACGACGAACUAGCAACCCCAAAAAAAUUCGAUCGUUGCUUGGAUGAAGAGUUGUUUACCCGUAGCCGAUACUUGUAAACAGCAUAUGCGCCAACUCCUGCGAAAGCGAGGCCGAAGAAGAUAACCCAGAGGAAGCCCUGGCCCACCGACGAACUGGCAACUUUGCCUGCACAGCGUUCGGAAAAAGGUGUCACAUUACCACAUUACAGACAAAGGAAGUACAGUUUGAAGUGAAAACUUUCUUCUGCUUUACAUUGUUUCAGCAGAAGAGGCAUAAAGCUACCUGUAUCUAGGCUUGCAUUAAUGUAGUUUUGUAAUCUAACAGGACAAAGGAACAAAGUUGUGGCCCAUCAUGGUAUUAUAGCGAUGA